GCGGUGCCACCGCCCAAUCGCCGUACGGCGAGCCGGGGAACCAGGUUUCUGGGGUGAAGCCGCGCGAGCGGCCGGGGCAACUUCCGUCCCGAAUCCGUCAGCUAACCCGGUCGGCGGUCGAGGGAAGGGAA
rnacentral:sRNA from 1 species